GCCCGCCGCGGCAGAGUUAUGCCAAGUAUGUGAGGAGCUGGCGAGGACCGGCCGCGGUCAUGGAGAGCCGCCGCCUCCGCCCGCGCGGGACUCGGAGCCAGCCCCGCGCCCAGGGCGAGCCGGGCUGCUGAGGCUGUGCGCAUGGCGGAGCCCUGGCGGAGGACGCUCGGCCGGCACCGGGAGCCCCGCGCUCCGGGGGCGCUCGAGCUGCGUGCGGAUACCGUGGCGGCUUCGCUCUCCGAGGCACGCUCGGCGCCCCGCGGGCUCGUGAGCCCGGGCAUGGAGCAGCCCGCGUGGGGGAACGGGAUGCGCUCCGAGCAACCAGGCGCGCGGGUCGCAUGGCCUCGCGGGGCUCGAGAGGCCGCCGCUCUGGGCCGCGCGCUCGCUCGCGCCAUCCCGGGCCCCGAAGGCAGCGGUGACGCUGACGACGACAACGACGACGGGGAGGACGAGGGCGCCGACUACUACGAGAACCUGCCCGCGGGCUGUGCGCCCGAGGGGGCGGAGGCGCUGCGGGCCUCGCCUUUCCCAGCGGCGGGCUCCUCCCCGGGGGUGGAGGGCGGCCGCCGGGAGACGGGCAGGCUGCAGACCCAGUUGCGAGAGGCCUAUUAUCUGCUGAUCCAGGCCAUGCACGACCUGCCCCCUGACUCGGGCACGCGGCGGGGCGGACCCGCGGGAGCCCGGGCUCGGGGCCAGCAGCCACCUCUCCCCCACGGCGCAGCCGUGCGCCCAGCCUGCAGCCCCCGAGGCGGCGACCGCCCUUCGCAGCCGCAGCAGGUGUCCCCGCCCCGGUCGCCUCCUAAGGAGUCCGGGGUAGGACGGCCGCCGAGUCCUCGGAUGAGGCUGUCCAGUUGCAGAAGUCUCGAGAGCCUCCGCGGGAACCCCCAGCCGCCACUGCUCCAGCGGUGGGCGAGCGACAGCUGGAUCUCGUGCGUCGCGCACCGGGACAGGGACGAGCCCCCGCCACGUGUAGGUGGGAUGGACGGCUGGAGCCGGGGCAGCCACCGGGCUGCUGCAUCCGCCGCGUUCCUGCCUUCCAUCUGCCAGGACCCGGGCCGGUCCUCGGGACGUCCCUAUAGGGAUCUUGCGGGGACCUCUGUGAUACCCAGCAGCCAAGAGGACCGUCCCGAGGGGCCUCCGCUCCUCAAGCCACCUGCGGUGACGGUCAAGAAGCUGCAGAGGUGGAUGUACAAAGGACGCCUGCUGUCCCUGGGGAUGAAGGGUCGCGCUCGUGGGACAGCAUCCAAAGUUCCCGGAGCGCAGGCAACUUCUCCAAAUUUGGGCAGUUGGAAAGUGCACGAAAACCACGUCCUCUCGGUGACCGCGGACCAAAGAAUCGCACUGACAGCAGACUUAUUUGAAAAUGUCUAUGGGUCUCCAUCGAAGAAAAGGGAACCUGAAGAUGUACAGGAUAAUGCUGAGCUUAGAGGUCAUCAGCCCCUUAACAACAUCACUGUCUCAAAGAAACGCAAUUGGCUGUAUCAGAGCACCCUGAGGUCUCAGAGUCUGGAAGAGAGUAAGCGAUGCCAAGAGAGAAGCAAUUUCCCGCCCUCCCCGGUGUCGUCACCCAGAUAUGCGCCGUCGCAGCCUUUCUGCAGGUCCCCAAGGGAACGCUACACACAUGCGACGUGUGAUGCCGCCAGCUCUGCAUUCUCAGGAAACUGCUCUUUAGACUUCAGUGAGGACAACCAUGCUGAUGAUGAAGGGGAGAUAUGGUACAAUCCCAUCCCCGAGGAAGACGAGCUUGGCGCAGCAGGUGUCUUGAGUCUCGAGGAGGCGAACACUACCACAGUGCAGCUCCCUGCUCUCCGUGCGAACACGGUGUCUGCGAGAGACCUGAGGAAGGCUGAGCUGCAUGGUGAAGAGCGGCUGUGUUCUGCCCAGAACACAGGUGACGUGCCGAGCCCUGUAGACUCCAUCCAGUCCACAGAGGUUACGCAGCAGCGCAGGCAAAGGUUAGGACCCAGGACACAGGAAGGCAUCACGGCAGAGGACAGCCCCGUGCUGAAAUCUGCCUUUACAGGUCCUGGGGUCUUGGUUUCUGCAAAUAGGACUGAAUUGAGAGCUAUGGAGCCGUCUUCUCCGAGCCCCAGCCCUGCGAAGAAAGGCAGUUCCAUUACUUGGUCUUUGCCAGAUAAAAUAAAAUCUCCACGCACUGUGAGGAAGCUGUCCAUGAAGAUGAAAAGGUUGCCAGAAUUCAGCCGGAAGCUGGGUGCCAGGGGACCCUCGCACGAUAUAGGCAGUCCAGAGAGUACCCCUUCCAAGUGCAGCUGUCACCAGCUGCCUCGUGGUGCCCUUCUCCCCUCUGGGAACCCGACCAGGAACGUCAUAAGCCGGUACCAUCUUGAUACCACUGUUUCGUCUCAGCACAGCUACCAGAAGAAAAGUACCGGGAGCUCGAAGUAUUCCUGCAAGGGUGGUUACCUUAGCGACGGAGAUUCACCCGAACUUAGAACUAAAUCGAGCAAGCACAGAUCCGAGCACAAACUCGGGAAAGGAAGAGAAGCCAUUCCGAGCGGUUGUAGCAAAAACGACAUAGACAUAGAUGCCUUCAGACACUACAGCUUUGCCGACCAGCCCAAGUGCUCACAGUACAUAUCGGGCCUCAUGAGCGUGCACUUCUAUGGAGCAGAGGGGCUCAAGCCACCCCGGAUGGAUUCCAAAGACGUCUUCUGUGCCAUUCAGGUAGACUCGGUGAACAAAGCCAGAACGGCUUUGCUCACCUGCCGGACGACGUUCUUAGACAUGGACCACACUUUCAACAUAGAGAUCGAAAACGCACAGCAUUUGAAGCUGGUGGUGUUCAGCUGGGAGCCCACUCCGAGGAGAAACCGAGUGUGCUGCCAUGGCACAAUUGUCCUGCCCACUCUCUUCAGAGUGACAAAGACACACCAGCUGGCCGUCAAACUUGAACCCAGAGGCCUUAUUUAUGUCAAGGUGACCCUCAUGGAACUGUGGGAGAAUUCUCUCCACGGCCUGGAUAAAAGCCGGGAGUCCGUCAUGUUUGGUGUUGACAUUCAGAAGGUUGUGGAGAAAGAAAACGCGGGGUCGAUGGUGCCGCUGCUGAUACAGAAAUGUAUCGUGGAAAUUGAGAAGAGGGGCUGCCAGGUCGUAGGCCUGUAUCGAUUGUGUGGUUCAGCAGCUGUCAAGAAAGAGCUUCGCGAGGCUUUUGAGAAGGAUAGCAAAACUGUUGGUCUGUGUGAAAACCAGUACCCAGAUAUAAAUGUAAUAACAGGUGUCCUUAAGGACUAUCUAAGAGAACUCCCUGCUCCCCUGAUAACGAAGCAGCUGUACGAGGCUGUGUUAGACGCAAUGGUGAAAAACCCUCUGAAAAUGCCACCGAAUGGCUGUGAGUCCGAGUCCAGUGACUCCAAGUUCACCGUUGGCCUGCUGAAUUGCUUGCCGGAUGUUGAGAAGGCAACCCUAAAGAUGUUGCUAGACCACCUGAAGUUGGUGGCUUCGUACCACGAAGUGAAUAAGAUGACCUGCCAGAAUCUGGCUGUGUGCUUUGGACCAGUGCUGCUCAAUCAGAGGCAUGAGACUUCGCCCCACAACAACAGAGUCUUCACGGAUUCCGAAGAACUCGCCAGCGCUUUGGAUUUUAAAAAACACAUUGAAGUUCUUCAUUACCUGCUCCAGCUCUGGCCAGACUCACGGUCGAAUACUUGGCUCACUGCUGGUGAUGCUGUUUGGGGGAUGGUCUGGAAACUUCAAGUGGUGGGACCUAGCUAGAGGAAAGCCUCGCCUUUGAAGCCUACACCCGAUCCUGUGCCUCUGCUUCUUGUCUGCGGAGAGACUCCAGGGAUGACCAUAAAAGCAAAGACCUACGGGGCCUAAGCUGCAAUGACUCUAUCUACACUAAAACUGCAAAUUGAUUCUGCAGCUCAUCAUUUUAAAGGUAUGUGAGGGCUGACCCCCCCCCCCCCCGUGCCUCAACACUGAAGGGAUAUUAAAGACAAAGGGACCUCCCAAAAUUAUAAAUCAGGGCUUUGAAAGGCUAUUUGUCCAUCCACAUUCACGGCACCACCAUUUGCAGUAGAAGAAAGGUGGAAAUAACCGUGGAUGAAUGUCCAAACAAAAUGUGGCCUAGGUAGGUGAUGGGAUACUAUUCAUCCCGGGCUGCAGAGAUGGCUCAGUGGUUAAGCACACUGGCUGUUCUUCCAGAGGUCCUGGGUUGGAUUCCCAGCUUUGGAGCAGAUCAGAACACCGUGUUUCUAUUUAGAGGCAGAGACGUUCUAGUAGGAAGGGGUCACUAUGCUCCUGUAAUAUUCUUCCCUCAAGAGCAGAGACCCUAAGACCAUUUAAGAGAUGAGUUGUAACUGGGAAUUGAUAUAACCCCUUCCCACCAUGAACAUCCAGAAGUCUAAUCCCAAAGCUGUUCACCAGAAGGGAUCAGCGUCAGGACUGGAGUUUGAGGUCACAGGCUCAGGUGUAGCUUCCAGGCAGAGGUGCGCAUUCAGAAAGCGAUAAGAAACCAGAACUCUCCACUGGACCUCAGGGGCUGGAAAGCGUGGACAUUUCCUGCUUCUGGCCAAGGACAAAAAUGGAAUUGUUCGCCUCAAGGUCCUUGCCCCUAAAGUGACUGCCUGGUUCCUACUUCCGGUCCUCGUCAUUAUGUUCACUGACCCCACAGUGGUGUCGUCAGGCACCAUCUGAGGCUGCGAGCAGAAGUCCCCGCCCUUUGCGGUGACACAGCUCCCUGGUGUGUCCAGCAAUGGACCUGAAAAGUGUUGGGAUUUAUGACUUUCUUUGCUUUGUUGCAACAAAAAUUUCAAGAACUUUUUGGGAAAAAAAAAAAACAUAUUUGAAAGGGAACUUCGGGUGGCUCAAGUCUGUGUUUUCAGACCAUGAUCAUUCUCAUUCUCAUUUGGCUCUCGAAUAAAUUUUCUUUUAGCCCCUUAGAGGUGAGAGAUGGUUUUACAUUAACAGUGGGUUGCAGGAUGACUACAAAGGGUUAAAAAGAGUGGGGUUCAAGAGGUCUCAAGGGUUCCAAGAAACAGGAGAGACUGAAGGAAAUGUGGCCUGUGGGGGUGAGCUGACUAACCGAAGUUAGUCAGAAGUCAAAGGAGCUGUUCUGACUUGCUGGCUGUGGAUGCAGGCUUCAGGGUCAGAGUUGAGCUGUCCACUUCAGUCCAGUUGCAAAGGCAAAAGGGUAGGGCUGGGUCCAGCUCAAGGGAAGGGAAGAAGGUCUAGGUGGGUGGACAGGAAGGCAGGUAGCAGUUUUAUCUAGGAGACCGUAUCAGACGAGAAUGAACUAAGCUGAAGCCCCAGGCAUAGUCUGGGAGUUCCCCGCACGGGGUCCUUGACAGGUCUGGAGGAGCCAUGGUCUCUGCAGGGCUCAGUACCUCCCUUUUGGGGCAUGGGGAGGGCAGGUGAGGGAAUUACAGCCUUUCCUAAGUCUGAAAUGUCUGAUAAGUUCUUGGGGCUAGUUUCCCUGAUUUUUUUUUAAAUUUGCCCUUGUUUCCUUACUGUCCCAAGUCACCCUGAUACAUUUACAGGGUGGCACUCUUUCUACUCUCACUGAUAAUAAUUUAUCAGUCUGUGCACUGUGUGUGGUACCAGACAGAUGCCAUUUGAAUGCCCAUCACGCUGCAAAUGUCAUCCUCCAUCCUAAAACUCACCCCCAGGCUGAGUGUAAGAGGAGUCUCGUCGGUCGGUCAGGGCCUGGUCUGAAGGGCCACUGCUUUAUACAACAUAGAACAGACUGAUCUCAACAACAAUAAUAAACUAAUAAGAAUGGUGGCUCUUCUGGGCAGGAAGCAAGAGAUCCUCUUUCUGAGGCUUCAUCUUGAAGAGAUCAUAGAACUCAUAUUUCCCAGGCCUUCUUGAGUGAUCUAGAAAAUUCCUUGUAAGGCAGAAGACGCAUGAGACAACUAGGGGCUUUGUUUCUGUGGAUGUUUUUGUUUGUUUCAGGGUUACCCUUGAGGAAGUUUCCCUCCACACUGUCUCUGAGUGAGCAGGGCUGUCCUGGGGCCUGGAAACCCUCGGAAACUGUCUGAUCAGCUAUGACAUUAUCCACAAUGGAGCUGCUGUGGUCCUGGUGUCUCUUCACAGCCGUAGAACAUUGACUAAGACAGGACUCAGCUCAACUGCGGGUCCAAGUGGGACCAUUUCUUAACAGCCCAAGAAAGAAACUCUUCUCUGGGCUUCUCCGGCACUCUCUCUUUGCUGACAGCCGUAACACUAGCAUCUGUUUGCCUUGCCAACAGGGCACUUCCUCCUCAUCUCCUCUCACCAUUGUCCAACCCACAGCAUCAAACUGGAAUAAAGGUCAUUUAAAAUAAA